rnacentral:rRNA from 1 species
UGGCGGACGGGUGAGUAACGCGUGGGUAACCUGCCUUAUACAGGGGGAUAACAGUCAGAAAUGACUGCUAAUACCGCAUAAGACCACAGCACCGCAUGGUGCAGGGGUAAAAACUCCGGUGGUACAGGAUGGACCCGCGUCUGAUUAGCUGGUUGGUGAGGUAACGGCUCACCAAGGCGACGAUCAGUAGCCGGCUUGAGAGAGUGAACGGCCACAUUGGGACUGAGACACGGCCCAAACUCCUACGGGAGGCAGCAUG